ACGGAGGAUGCAAGCGUUAUCCGGAAUCACUGGGUUUAAAGGGUGCGUAGGCGGUUCGUUAAGUCAGUUGUGAAAUUCCCCCGCUUAACGGGAGGGACUGCGAUUGAUACUGAUGAACUUGAAUCAGGUUGAGGUGGGCGGAAUGUGACAUGUAGCGGUGAAAUGCAUAGAUAUGUCAUAGAACACCGAUUGCGAAGGCAGCUUGCUGGACCUGUAUUGACGCUGAGGCACGAAAGCGUGGGGAGCAAACAGGAUUAGAUACCCUGGUAGUCCACGCCCUAAACGAUGUUUACUUGCUGUUCGGCCUUCGGGCGGAGUGGCGAAGCGAAAGCGAUAAGUAAACCACCUGGGGAGUACGCCGGCAACGGUG
rnacentral:rRNA from 1 species